AUCUCAAGGACCCCAAGCAGCAAGCAUUCACUUUUGAGAAAGCUUCGGCGAAACGCGUCAAGUGAGGAAGAAUUUUGGACUUUUAAACAGGACUGGUUUUAUAGUUUAUUAUUCACUUUUUACUUAUUGUAUUAAAGUAUAUAUAUUUUUUUAAAACUAUCCAGUCAUUCCUUUUGUCCUCCUUCCUAUCCAAUACUGCUUUGCUGCUAUACCUGGG